AGGUGCUGCAUGGCUGUCGUCAGCUCGUGUUGUGAAAUGUUGGGUUAAGUCCCGUAACGAGCGCAACCCUUGUCCUUAUUUGCCAGCGCGUAAUGGCGGGAACUCUAAGGAGACUGCCGGUGACAAACCGGAGGAAGGUGGGGACGACGUCAAGUCAUCAUGGCCCUUACGAGUAGGGCUACACACGUGCUACAAUGGUCGGUACAAAGGGUUGCCAACUCGCGAGAGUGAGCCAAUCCCGAAAAGCCGAUCUCAGUCCGGAUCGGAGUCUGCAACUCGACUCCGUGAAGUCGGAAUCGCUAGUAAUCGUAGAUCAGAAUGCUACGGUGAAUACGUUCCCGGGCCUUGUACACACCGCCCGUCACACCAUGGGAGUGGACUGCACCAGAAGUGGUUAG
rnacentral:rRNA from 1 species